AGCAGUAGCCGCGGUAAAACGUAGGUGGCAAGCGUUGUCCGGAAUUAUUGGGCGUAAAGGGCUCGCAGGCGGUUUCUUAAGUCUGAUGUGAAAGCCCCCGGCUCAACCGGGGAGGGUCAUUGGAAACUGGGAAACUUGAGUGCAGAAGAGGAGAGUGGAAUUCCACGUGUAGCGGUGAAAUGCGUAGAGAUGUGGAGGAACACCAGUGGCGAAGGCGACUCUCUGGUCUGUAACUGACGCUGAGGAGCGAAAGCGUGGGGAGCGAACAGGAUUAGAUACCCGUGUAGUCCCUGUCUCUUAUAC
rnacentral:rRNA from 1 species